UUUUCCUUUGCAAUGGGCACAGAUGGCUUCUACAUGGGGCAGAGCCGCAUGAACGUCACCAAGCAGAGCUGGGAGAAGGGGGACGUCUACACCUGCCAAGUGACCCACCCAGCAGUGGGAGCAGAGCUCUCCAUGCACAACACCAGCAAGUGCUUGGCCUGCCUCAGAAGCUCACUUGACCCAAUCAUCUACUUAACCAAACCCUCCUAUGAAGAUGUCAUCAAAAAUUCUGGUCAUGUUACCUGUCUAGUUCUGGGCUAUGACUUAGCAGCCAGCAGAAUCGCAUGGAAAGUGGAUGGGCAAGUCAGCUUUGCGGUGAAGACAGAACCCCCAGAGAAGAACAGCAACGGGACCACCAGCCUGGUCAGUUCUCACCCUGUGUCGCUGGCACAAUGGGGACAAGGCACCCAAUUUACCUGCGAAGUGACCACACCUUGUUCUGGAGAACUAACGCAGGACAUAACCAUGAGCAAUACAGGCAUCAGGAAGAAGGAGCCCUCAGUCACCAUCUCCCGAGCCUACCACGAAGACAUCUCCGGGAAUAGAGUCUCCUUGACUCUCAUCUGUGAAGCUAGUGGCUUUUACCCAGAAGAGAUCAGCAUCUCAUGGUUGAAGAACAACUCCCCAGAACUCAAGUCGAGUUACAAUAAUGGCCCUGUGUCAGGAAGUGGCACUUUCUCUGCCUACAGCAUCCUGAAGGUUGACAAAAGUGUAGGAGCAGUAAAUUACACCUGCGUGGUGCAUCACCCAGCCAUGGAAGAGCCCAAGAAGGUUGUGGAAAAGGUGUCCCUCGAGUCCUGGCACUGCUCCGUCCUGGGCAUCAACCCCUGCAGCAUCCGAGACGACAGCAUGGAUGACUACAGUGAGUUGGACGAUGCCCAAUGUGUGUGGACCACAGUCUCCACCUUCAUCGCCCUCUUCCUCAUCACGCUCUUCUACAGCGGAUUCGUCACCUUCAUCAAGGUGAAAUAGGCACCACUCUCUCCACACAGUGAAGAAGAAGGGAUGGGGUCCAAUCUGCCCCUCUGUUUGCAGUUCUUUUGCCCACUUCCAUUUCCCUGCCUAUCCAUAGCGGCUGGCCUGACCUACAGGGUAGAUCAUCUGGCCAUGGUGAUCUCCCAUUACUUCCAGAGACACAUGAAGAAAGAACAUCAAAGAAAGGCCUUCACUGUUCCCGCCCAUUUUAUGAAGGCCAAGAACUAUGCAUACUCCAUGCUAAGGGAGAGAAAGUGGGUAAAGACGUCUCCCAAAAAGAUUCUUUUGAUAGUUCUCUGUUCUUUCUCUCAGCCUUACCAUAUCAGCUCCCUAACCCCUCAAAAAAUUACCUGAGCUCCCCUCUGUGCUGCUAAAUCUUAUUCUGUACUACCCCUCCUGAGAGUCUUAGGGGGUCACGGUUGGGGACCCAAUACACCCCCCCAUCUUUCACAGGGCUUCUAAGGUGGGAAACAAACCCCACUCCAUUCAAGGUUGCCAAGGACCCUGGAACCUCCUAGGGUAAUACACACAUACCCCCGGUCCUAGGACAGAGAUGGAGCCAGUUGCAACAAUCUGCAUCCAGAAAAAGCCAGCUCACAGCCACUCCAUGCUAUCCAACCUCGCAAGAAUUCAUCCUCUUUCUGUUUCUCCACUCAACCCCCUGAGAGCCGAACCUAAUGCUGCAGAUCCCCCACUGCACCCCACUGGAACCCAGCCUAAGGCCAUUUCCCCCAGGAGGUCCCCACUCUACCCAACAAGAUCCUAAUCCAAUGGUAUUGACCCCUCAAGUUCCCCACGUAACCCCACAAGAACCCAACUCCAUGCUGUUUCUUCUAACAAAGCCCCAACCCUAAAAGACUCCAAACUAAUGCUCUUCCUCAAUAAAUUCUCCCACUCAAUGCUGGAAGAAUCCAAUCCAAAUGCAUUCCCUACCCAUCCCUAGGAGGUUCACGGCUACUCCCCCAACAAAAUCACAAUCCAACCUGACAAGAACC